rnacentral:rRNA from 1 species
UACGGAGGGUGCGAGCGUUAUUCGGAAUUACUGGGUUUAAAGGGUGCGUAGGCGGCUUGGUAAGUCAGGAGUGAAAGUUUGCGGCUCAACCGUAAAAUUGCUUUUGAUCCUGCCAGGCUGGAAUCAGGAUGAGGUCAGCGGAAUGUGGCAUGUAGCGGUGAAAUGCAUAGAUAUGCCAUAGAACACCAAUUGCGAAGGCAGCUGGCUAGACCUGUAUUGACGCUGAGGCACGAAAGCGUGGGGAGCGAACAGG